rnacentral:lncRNA from 1 species
GCACGUUCACCCACACAUGCUACUUCUACUCCAGAAGUACCAUCCACAUAUAUCCACUCAUUUCCAUCUCCAGAACCACCCAAAAAUAUUCUACUCCUAAUCCGGGAGAGAAUAGCCAAAAACAUCUUUGUUUUUCCCCUGUGAAAUAAAUGCUCAAGUUAUCUUGUUACUACCACUUGCUAUAUUAUCUCAAGAGAUGAGUGCUCCAAAAAAAAAGAAAAGAAAAGAUACGAGGAAAUAAAAAGGGGCAAGUGCCCGUAACCUCGAAAGAAAAGAAAAAGUGAGAUGAGAGGUAAAAAUGGACAAGUGUCCGACAGUAGAAUUAAGGGUACAAGAUACCCACCUGAGAGAAAAGAAAAAAAAGAAGAGCAUCUCAUUCUCUUCACAAUAUUUCAAAAAGCAAGAAAGGUAUAUAUCCCCUCAAAAGAGCAAAAGUAGAAUCAGACUUUCACCAUUGUUAUCACCAUCAUCACCAUACAACAUUCUUUUGCCACACAUGCACAUCUUGAUUUGACUUAUUGAUUUGUUUCUUUGGAUCCAUGGUUUGACUAUACAAUAAAUGUCUUGUAAGUAUGUAUACUUUAUCUCCCACCUAUGAGCUCCAGAUAUUAAAGCCUUAUUAGAAUAGGGUGAGAGAGAGGGCAAUAUGCUUUAUACCACAAAUACCAUAUAUUUUGAGAGAAGGCAUAUGUUGAUAUUUGGGAACGCAAUAAGGAAUUGAUCCGCAAGCGCACGGAUAUCGGUGAGCACUUCACCCGGGAGGUUAUCCAGAGUAUCGUAUUUAUUUUUUUACCACUUGGAGAAAGAGUGCAUCUGACUAACCGGUCUAUUACUACUAACCUUUAGGCACAAAGAAUGUCUUUCGAUGUGAGUGAUAAAUAGAGAAGACUGCAACCGUAGUCUCCUUCUAACCUUGGUAAGGAUGAUCUACUGUUCUAAUGGGGAGGCUAACGGAAUCUAGACACCACAAAGGAUGUUCAACCCGCACCUAUAAACCCUAUCCUUCCUGCUAACGAGAUGUGAUCUACAAAGGUAGCUCGGAAUUGUCACGUUCCUCACUACUACCACGGUCCAGCUAGUCAGGGAAUAUCUAUGAGUACCCCAGCCUAAACACCACGUUUACGCUAGCAAUGAUUACUCUAAAUUCUACGCGAAGAGAUUAAAGUAAACUCAUAAACCAUAAGAACAAUAAAACACGAACUUACUAGAAUUUAGAAGUCGAAUUACUGAAGAAUCAUAGGAGCAAGCUUCGGGUUAGGGGAACUUGAUCCCGCAGGUACAAGCUUGGAGUAGACACCGACAGGCCGGGCUUCCUCCACUCUUCACCUCCACUCUAUCUCUCUCAAUCUAGUAGAAACUAGAAGAUCUAUUUCUACCUUACAUUGGUUGCUAAGCCUAAAAAGAAAUAUUAAUUAGAGAAGAGGUUUUCCUUCGAGGGCACCCCUCAGUCUCUAUGAUAAUUUCUUCAUGUCUUCUCCAGAGGCUAGGGGGGCCUUGCUUAUAUAGUCCUCCCCUUCUAUGCGUUUUUGGGUCGAUAGGCGAGGUGGUACUAUGUUUUUCUUGAUCCAAUAGGUCGGUGGAAUAUCCCGAACGAAGAGAGUCCUGAUCUGGCUCCAGAGGGGGGCGGGCGCCCAGGCUACCCGGGCGGGCACCCUGGGCCUGGCCCAGUUUCGCCUCCGCUUUGGUCUCGUGGCUUCUGGAGUCUUCUAGAUGAUGUAAAAUUGCGCGGUGCGUUGAUAUCUCUAUGUAAUCCCGACAUGUGGGCCUUUCUUCCUUAUUUCCUGAUAACCCCCUGCAGAAACAGAUAAACAACAAAACUCGUGGAAUUCUGUCAGAUCAAACCCUAAUUCUAGGUGUUGAUUGCAUAUUGGUCCUUUCUCUUGUUUAUUUGAUAAUUAAAAUUGAUACUUAAGAACCGUCAACAAAUACCCCCAUACUUAGGCUUUUACUCGUCCUUGAGAAAAGGAUGGUUAAGAAAAAUAUCUGGGGUAAACAUUUAAAAAUAUUCUUUAUAUUUGCAGGGUGUUAAAAAUCCACUGUGUACCAUAGUCAGGGAAGUUUAUGAUCAAGAGUAAAGAUCCUUUCUUCUCAAUCCUGUCACUUGGAGUUUUUGUAUAUUUUUGAAAGAAAGUAGCAUACCUUUUUGAUCCUCAUAGGUUCUCUCAGAUCACUCAUUAUCUUUUAUAUAUAUAUCUCACUGAGGCUGUUUUAUUUUGCAAAAAUUCUCAAGCAUACUUACUUUGCAUUUAUUGCCUGAUCAAAACGGGAUCCGAGGAGGGGAAUGUCAUACUCUUAGAUCAAAGACUUUGGAAAUUAAAAUCUUUGUCAACUCUUGCUGGCAUAUUGCUUAUUAGAGGGACCAUGGGCUAUCAUCAUUUUUUUUUCUAAGUGGAUACUGAAGUACCCCUAAUUCUACUGCCGGACACUUGUCCAUUUUUUCUGCGAGGUUAUCGAGCACUUGCUCCUUUUUAUUUCCUCGAAAUAUUUCUAUUUUUGCAUAGCCCAUGCCUCUAAUGCAAUAAUACUUCGGAAGAGUGAAUCUUUCUGAAAUAAUGUCUUGAUCUUAGGAGCAUGAUAAAUCUCUCUACAAGGGUCUAACUCAUUUUGAACAAACUCAAUACAGAGCAGAUAGCUUUUAUAAUCAUAAUUAAUAUUUUCAGUUUUAUCAGGCAUAUAAAACACUGAGGAUGGUAGCUAGAAAUUUGAAUAUUUUGAAAUAAAUUCUCCAAGCAACAAUGAUAUCAAGAAUAAGAAACUCAUACUCUACCAUCACAUAUUCCAUAUUGACUUAAGUAACACAGGGUUUUAAAAUAAUUUUAUAAUAAUUGCAAAUUUUCAGGAAAUAUCACAGAUCGAGAUUAAUCAUGAUUAAAAAUAUUUUAAUCUUUUUUUAUUAUCAUGUCAGAAACAGUAAUCUGCAUAAUCAAAGAUAUGUGUAAAGUAAAGUGUGCAGAGUGUGUACCUGAAUCGUAGAAUGGUGUAGUCGGAGUGUGUUUAGCAUGUUGAGGGAUCUCCCCCAUACUUGUUUUCUGCCUUCUUGCACAAAAAUAAAGUAGAGACACACAAGACAUAAUAAUAAUAAUAAUACUCUUUAUUGAUCUUGAGGCAUUUAUUACAAAAGACUGAUAGCAAACUGAUAAUAGUAAACCUAAACCGAAUUUAAAGAUAAAUGACUAAGAUGCAUUGCCUCAAGGUCUAAUCUAGAUAACUUAGCGGCGCUCUAAUUCCUUGAUCUUCUUGUUGGCACUGGCAAGAUCCUGCCUAAGGCCUAGUAUAACGGUGUUGUGGUUAGGGAGCUGCCUAGUGAGGGAAUUAAUUGAGGACUGGAGGUCUAUGAUAACUCUAUCUAGCCUGCGAACUUCCUCAUCAAUAUCCAUUAUAGUCUUGCGACGCUUGGGAGGUGUCUCAAAAGCAUUGAGAGAGUGCUUCGGGGCUGCCUUUGGAGGGAUGAAACGGACUUUGGCUGCUCUAAUCCCUUCAAAGUAAGGCCUUUCCUCCUCCGUAGUGUAGCGAAUACUGCUGAUCUCGCCGCUUCGGUUGGUCUUGACUCCAACAACCCUCUCAUUGGGUCUUGGUGGAAGGAUCCUUGUGCCGGUUGGCACCUUGAUAGCGGUCUUUGUUUUGGAUGAUGAUCCUGUGAGGUGUAGGGGUUGUGGUGGUGCAGUGAGAACUGGUUGAGCAUGGUAAGAUUGGGCGGAGCUGCGUUGGCGUAAUGGUAUGGCUUCUAGCUGACGCUCUGUGGUGGCCGGGACGAGAGCACGGGCAUCGGGGUCUUCCACAGGCUCCAUGUUGAGGUUGAAGGGGACGACUUCCCAAUCGUCGUGGUACUUCUCGGCCAUUGGAGUAGCAAGGAACUAAUAAAAUUUUAAUUGAAGGAGAGCUAAUCAAGCUCUAAUUGAAGGAGAGAAAGCUUGGUGGCUUGGUGUUUGAAAACUGAGGUCAGGGGUCUGUUUAUAUAGGGGUCAAAAGAGUGCCUCUAUGGGUUGUUCGGGUUGCUCCCGUCGAUGUGCGUGCAAAACUUUCCAUCCGAGGGAUUAUUCGGAUCACCCUAAGUGCAUUUUCCAUAACAGAGAAAGUCGGGACCGAGAGGGAACAGGGGCUGGGCGCCCGCCCACCUGAGUUGGGCGCCCGCCCUCUCUCUGGCCCCUCUGUGGGCCCACUUUUCCGAGCGCAUUUCUAGAUGCGGAAUUAUUUAGAAAAAUAUAUAUAUGACCCAAAACCAUCAGACCAAAAAUGUCGGGCUCUAAUUCUCCAUGGGAAGGAAAAAAUGGACUACGUCUAUUUCUUCAAAUUCCUUAUUGGGCUCUAAAAAUAAUUUAAGACGUUGACCAUUUACCUUGAAUAACGUACCUUCGUCAUUUUGAAGUGUGAUAGCUCCGUGGGAUGAUGAAUUGAUUACCUUGAAUGGUCCUUCCCAUUUUCUCCGGAGUUUUCCAUGCCCGAAAAGCUUUACCCUGGAAUUAAAAAGUAAUACCUUAUCUCCGGGUGUGAACUCCUUCUUCUUGAUUCUCUUGUCAUGCCACCUCUUGACUCUUUCUUUGUAGAUCUUUGAAUUGUGAUAUGCCUUCUCUCGCCAUUCUUCCAAUUCUGAUAGUUGCAUUCUUCUACAAUCUCCAGCAACAUCUAGGUCCAUAUUCCAUCUCUUUAUGGCCCAGUGUGCUUUGAACUCUAGCUCAACAGGUAGAUGGCAAGUCUUCCCGUACACCAAUUGGUAUGGAGACAUUCCGAUUGGGGUCUUGUAUGCUGUCCGGUAUGCCCAGAGUGCAUCGGGUAACUUGUCUUUCCAUGCCGUUCCCAUUUCAUUUACUGUCUUCUGAAGAAUAUUUUUGAUUUGUUUGUUGGAAGUUUCUGCUUGGCCACUUGUCUGAGGAUGAUAAGGGGUAGCGACGUUGUGACGGAUUCCAUGUCUUGAUAGAUAUUGCUUGAAGCGUUUGUCGAUGAAGUGUGCUCCUCCAUCACUUAUCACUACUCUGGGGCCUCCAAAUCUUGGAAAUAUAAUUUCUUCAAACAUCCUCUUUGAACUGACGUUGUCGGCAUGCUUGCAAGGUAAUGCUUCUACCCACUUGGAGACAUAAUCAACUGCCACCAGGAUGUACUCGCACUUCUUUGAUGGAGGAAAUGGACCCAUGUAGUCUAUUCCCCAGACAUCAAAGAGCUCAAUCUGAAGGUUGUUGGUGAGUGGCAUUGCAUUCCUUGUAUUUAUGUUUCCGUGCCUUUGACAUGGCCCUCAUCUUCUGAUAUAUUGCUUCGUAUCUUCAUACAUUGUAGGCCAAUAGAAUCCACACUGCCAGAUCUUUGAAUGUGUACGGAAUGCUCCAUAGUGACCUCCAUAUGGUGAUGAAUGACAUUUGUCGAUGAUCUUCCAUCCUUCCUCAGUGGUCACACAUCUCCUGAGUAAGCCAUCAGAGCAUACUCGGAAGAGGUAUGGCUCAUCCCAUAUAUGUGAACGACUUUCUUGAAUAAGCUUCUUCUUGUUUGCUCCUGGUGGUACAUACCCUGAAACCAUAAAAUUAACAAUAUCUGCAUACCAGGGGUCAGACUUGUUAAUCCCGUAGAGCAUGUCGUCCCGGAGUGAAUCAUUGAUGGGGGUUUCCUGUGGACUCUUAAAAUACAUUCUAGACAAGUGAUCAGCAACAGAAUUUUCUACUCCUUUUUUAUCUUUUAUUUCUAAGUCAAAUUCUUGGAGUAAUAAGAUCCAUCUAAUCAGGCAAGGUUUAGCAUCUUUUUUAGUGAGCAAAUAUUUUAGUGCAGCAUGAUCAGUGUAAACAAUUAUUUUAGCUCCAACUAAAAAAGAUCUAAAUUUAUCAAUGGCAAAGACAACAGCCAGAAGCUCUUUUUCAGUGGUUGCAUAAUUAAGUUGAGCUCCUGUCAAAGUUUUACUGGCAUAAGCAAUUGCAUGAUGCUUCUUAUCUUUAGUUUGUCCCAAUACUGCCCCCACAGCAUAAUCACUAGCAUCACACAUAAUUUCAAAAGGCAGCGACCAAUCAGGGGGUUGAAUGAUUGGUGCAGAGAUGAGUGCUUUCUUUAAUAAAUUGAAAGAUGUUAGACAUGCAUCAUCAAAUUCGAAAGGAACAUCCUUGGCUAGCAAAAGAGUAAGUGGUCUAGCAAUAAAUGAAAAAUCUUUUAUGAAUCUACGAUAAAAACCAGCAUGGCCAAGAAAGCUUCGAAUUCCUUUUAUAUUCACAGGUGGAGGUAGUUGUUCAAUUACUUCAAUUUUAGCUUUGUCUACCUCAAUACCUCUUUCAGACACUAAGUGUCCUAGCACUAUUCCUUCUCUAACCAUAAAAUGACAUUUUUCCCAAUUAAGGAUUAAGUGCUUUUCUUCACAUCUUUGCAAAACUUUGUCUAAGUUUUCAAGACAACUAUCAAAAGUUUUUCCAUAAACAGAGAAAUCAUCCAUGAAAACUUUCAUAAUCUCUUCAAUCAUAUCAGAAAAUAUAGACAUCAUGCAUCUUUGAAAAGAAGCUGGUGCAUUACAUAACCCAAAAGACAUUCUACGAUAAGCAUAAGUUCCAUAUGGGCAUGUAAAAGUGGUUUUGCUUUGAUCAUCGGGAUGGAUCGGGAUUUGAUGAUACCCUGAAUAUCCAUCUAAAAAAUAGAAGAACGAAUGCUUUGCUAACCGCUCUAGCAUCUCAUCUAUGAAAGGCAAAGGAAAGUGAUCCUUUCUCGUGGCUUUAUUUAGUUUUCUAUAGUCUAUGCACAUCCGCCAUCCUGUGACGGUGCGUUGCGGAAUUAGUUCGUUCUUUUCAUUCAUAAUAACUAUCAUGCCUCCUUUUUUAGGCACAACUUGUACUGGGCUCACCCACUCACUGUGCGGCACAGGAUAUAUAAUCCCUGCAUGCAGCAGCUUUAUAACUUCCUUUUUAACUACCUCUCUCAUAGUGUUGUUAAGUCUACGUUGGGGUUCUCGAGAGGGUGUAACAGAAGGAUCUGUUGGAAUACGAUGUGUACAAAUCAUAGGACUAAUUCCUGUAAGAUCUUGAAGUGAGUAGCCAAAAACCGAGUGAUGUUUCUCAAGAAUGGUCAUUAAUCGCAGAGUUUGAUCAUGAGUGAGUUUAUCGCUAAUGAUCAUAGGGAACUCUGGAUUAUUGUUUAGGAAAGCAUAGGUAAGACCGGGUGGUAAAGUUUUAUGUUCUAUGGGGGGUCUAGGUGUUUCUGCAAACUCAUCUAAGGGUUCAGGCUCGGAAGGUUCGUCUUCUUCUUCUGUGAAGAAAGGAGUUUCGUCUUCUAAGUCUGGUUCAUCUAAAAGCUCCAGAGAUGCAGCCUUUACUUCCUCCAUAGGAUCAGGCAAAAGAUAUGACUCGGCCUUAUUGUUUAAGGAAUGUGAAAUUAUUAUUGGGAUUUUAAAAGUUUUUCCAAAAGAAAUGUGUAGCUUUCCAGUAUGACCUUCAUAAAGGAGUCUUCUAAAAGGUUGUCCUAUCAACAGGUCAAAGUCCCAUGUAUCAAAGAUAUAGAAGUUCAAAUGAACCAUGGAGCCUUCUACUGUAAGAGGUAGGACAUUAAUAAUUCCAAGACUGGGGACCAAUCGUCCUGAAGAUUCCUUUAUGACCUUUGUUGUGGGGGUUAAGACAAGAUUUUUAAAUAGUUUAAGUGCAAAGGAUUCAGACAUGAUGUUGAUCCCCACAACAGGAUUAUAGAGAGCAUUAAAUCGAUCAGAAUUAUAAGCACAGCGUAUAGUUAUCGAGGGUGUGUCCAAACGUAUCACAUCAGAGGAAAGCUCUGAUUCCUCCAACCAUUCGCUACUCAUGACUGAGAUAAGCUCUCUCAAUUGAUAUUCACUUGGCAAAUAAAUGCUAAACUGGCCGUUUUGGGGUUUGUCAAUAGAAUGGUAGUUUGAAAUAUUUCCAAAAUCGGCAAAAAGAUUGGAUUCUAUAUCCAGCAUGAAGUCCGGUAGUGGAAUUUCUUCCUCUUGUGGCUCAAAACUUGGAAUAGCUAAAGUAGAUGAAGAAUUUGGCAGAGUGUCUACUUCGGCUUCGUAGGUUUCAUCAUGAAGGGUAUUAUCCAUCUCAGCUUCUAGGAUUCUAUCUAGGAUCACUCUAGCUUCAUCAGCAGGGAUGCGAAAGAAAGAACCUCUAGACAUUGUGUGAAGCAUUUGUUUGUGAUUUUUAUGAAGACCUCGAAAAAAGUGAAAUAAAAGAACAGGGUCUUCAAGAUUAAGGUUUGGACCAGAUUCUAAAAGAUCAGAAAAAUGUUUCCAGGAUUUUCCCAAAGUUUCAUUGUCUUUUUGUUUAAAAGAUAGGACUUCGAGUCUAAGGUCGGCUAUACGGUCAAGGGAAUAGAAAUCUAGACAAAAGUUGGCUCGUAAAACUCCCCAUUCACCUUGUUGUUGACUUACCUUCUGACUGUACCAUUGUCUAGCUUCUCCCCUUAAGGAAAAAGGAAAAAGCUUCCAACGUAAAGUCUUAUCAGAAAUGCCUUCAAUGCGAAGACAAUCACAUGUUUGCUCAAAAUCUCUAAUAUGAAGGUAAGGGUUUUCGUCUUCCUUUCCCGAAAAAGAUAGGUUUUGAAUCAUGGCAAUCAACCUAGAACUUAACUUAUACUGGGAUGUUUGGAUAGGCUGUGAUGAUUCCCAUGGUAAAAGGUCAGUUGCUAAAGGGAUUGCAGACUCAUGGAUCGAUUUAGAAUUUUGGUUUUCCAUAAGGUAAGAAUAAAGAAAAUAAAUAAAGGAUAUAAAAGAUAAGGAAAGAUAAAAGUAUAGAUACAAGCUAAUAGCAAGACACAGGUUAUCUCAGCAACCAUCUUUCUCCCCGGCAACGGCGCCAGAAAUGCUUGUUGAUAUUUGGGAACGCAGUAAGGAAUUGAUCCGCAAGCGCACGGAUAUCGGUGAGCACUUCACCCGGGAGGUUAUCCAGAGUAUCGUAUUUAUUUUUUUACCACUAGGAGAAAGAGUGCAUCUGACUAACCGGUCUAUUACUACUAACCUUUAGGCACAAAGAAUGUCUUUCGAUGUGAGUGAUAAAUAGAGAAGACUGCAACCGUAGUCUCCUUCUAACCUUGGUAAGGAUGAUCUACUGUUCUAAUGGGGAGGCUAACGGAAUCUAGACACCACAAAGGAUGUUCAACCCGCACCUAUAAACCCUAUCCUUCCUGCUAACGAGAUGUGAUCUACAAAGGUAGCUCCGAAUUGUCACGUUCCUCACUACUACCACGGUCCAGCUAGUCAGGGAAUAUCUAUGAGUACCCCAGCCUAAACACCAUGUUUACGCUAGCAAUGAUUACUCUAAACUCUACGCGAAGAGAUUAAAGUAAACUCAUAAACCAUAAGAACAAUAAAACACGAACUUACUAGAAUUUAGAAGUCGAAUUACUGAAGAAUCCUAGGAGCAAGCUUCAGGUUAGGAGAACUUGAUCCCGCAGGUACAAGCUUGGAGUAGACACCGACAGGCCGGGCUUCCUCCACUCUUCACCUCCACUCUAUCUCUCUCAAUCUAGUAGAAACUAGAAGAUCUAUUUCUACCUUACAUUGAUUGCUAAGCCUAAAAAGAAAUAUUAAUUAGAGAAGAGGUUUUCCUUCGAGGGCACCCCUCAGUCUCUAUGAUAAUUUCUUCAUGUCUUCUCCAGAGGCCAGGGGGGCCUUGCUUAUAUAGUCCUCCCCUUCUAUGCGUUUUUGGGUCGAUAGGCGAGGUGGUACUAUGUUUUUCUUGAUCCAAUAGGUCGGUGGAAUAUCCUGAACAAAGAGAGUCCUGAUCUAGCUCUAGAGGGGGGCGGGCGCCCAGGCUACCAGGGCGGGCGCCCUGGGCCUGGCCCAGUUUCGCCUCCGCUUUGGUCUCGUGGCUUCUGGAGUCUUCUAGAUGAUGUAAAAUUGCGCAGUGCGUUGAUAUCUCUAUGUAAUCCCGACAUGUGGGCCUUUCUUCCUUAUUUCCUGAUAACCCCCUGCAGAAACAGAUAAACAACAAAACUCGUGGAAUUCUGUCAGAUCAAACCCUAAUUCUAGGUGUUGAUUGCAUAUUGGUCCUUUCUCUUGUUUAUUUGAUAAUUAAAAUUGAUACUUAAGAACCGUCAACAGCAUAUACCAUUACUGCCUUGGUAAGGAUCCAGAAAUACCACAAAAGAGAGAUAUGAGAGAAUCAUACAAGGAAUCUCUGAGUUUUAUUUGAAAAUCUGCAAAAACUUCAGAGCUAUAGCUGAUCAAGAAUAAGAGACGUGGCACUUGAUUAGACUGUUCUAUCUUUUAACCACUCAAGAUAGAGGAGACGGUUACAAGACCCAUGGUGAAAGGUAAAGUAAGUAAGUUUUAAAUCUUGACAGUUUACUCUAAAUCAGAGAUGAGAUCUCAUUUAAAAGCAUAUGUACCGUCAAUUUUUAAAGGCAUUGCAACAAAUUCUGAUCCAUCGCUGAGUCUAUCUUUGCUCAUGGACGAGCAAGAGGUAAGCUUGGGGGAGUUUGUUGACGGUCCUUAAGUAUCAAAUUUAAUUAUUAAAUAAACAAAGAAAAGUAUCCAAAUGAAAUCAACAUCCAGACUUAGGGUUUUAUCUGACAGAAUUCCACGAGUUUUGGUGUUUGUCUAUUUCUAUAGGGGGUUAUCAGGAAAUACGGAAGAAAGGCCCACACGUCGGGAUUACAUAGAGAUAUCAACGUGCCGCGCAAUUAUCUUACAUCUAGAAGACUCCAGAAGCCACGGGAAGGAAGCGGAGGCCGAACGGGGCCAGGCACUGGGCGCCCGCCCCCUCUUUGAGUUGGAUCAGGACUCUCUUUCGGGACUAAUCUCCACCGACCAAAAGGAUCAAGGAUAACCGUUCAAUCAAUGUCGGUUUGAUCCAACGGCCCAUAUUCACUUGAAGGGACUAUAAAACCAGACCCCCUGGCCCCUGGAGGAGAGAGCCUCUCAACCCUAAUUCAUUGUUCCACAAGGGAGAAGAAUCCUCUGAUCAAGAUUAGAGCCACCACAUCAAUUAGAUAUCUAGAUUAGCAUAGCUACAUAGGAUUAGAACUAGAAGGAGUCAAUCUUCGAUUGGUUUUCGGAUCUAUCAAGAGGAUUCUUGGUAAUUCUCUAAUUGUGCUUCUAAUUGUUCUUCUAAUUAUCUUUGUUCUUUAAUAUUAUGGAUAUGACUUUGUUCUACUUGAAUAUAUUGCUUAUGACUUUGCUCUACUUGUUUAUAUUCAAGAUUAUAUUGUUCUUAGUUUAUCGUAGUUAUAUACUUGGCUUAGUUAGAUUGGAUCUAUAAACAUGCUUAGGAUCGUAUAGCGUUUAUCCAACAGAUCCAUGGGUAAAUGAUAGAUAUUGUGUAGGCGUGGUGCUUAUGCCGUAUUUAUCUGCGAUUGUACCCAAUAUGCCAGAUCGUGGGGUAGUUCGUGAUAGUGACAGCUUCAUUGAUUCUUAUAUAGUCCCCCUCUCGUGUAUUGGGCUGGCAGAGCAACAUUAUUACAGGGGAGUGAUUGCUAUGUUUCUCAUUUACCUUGCUAAUAUCACUAUAAAUGGGCGUAGUCUUGUCUCGCAGUGAUUGCUAAGUAUGUUUGCACUAACUAUGAUAAUGCUAGACUAUAUAGUUGAGAAUAACUUAGGAAAUAUUCUUGUAGUUCGUUUAAUUCCAUGCUAAUGACUUUCAAGAGUAUCUAAUUGAGGUGCUUAUCAUAUUUAUUAUGUGGCUAAGUUAUGCUGAUCAGACUAAUUAUCUUUGUCACUAUUCAUUGCUUUAUAUAUCCUUUAUGUGACACUUACCCCUGUAUGAAAGAGUUAGAUAAAUGUUCUCAAUUAUACAUGCUAUGAUAGAUACUCAAUCUCAUAUUCCAUUCUGUAAUCAAUAUUGAUGAUUGUUAAUCCCUUCCCAGUGGUAAAAAUAUAAAUAACGAUACCUGGAAUACUUCCCGGUUAAAAUGCUACAUCGGUAUUAAUCUGUGCGCUUGCAUAUCCCAUUCAUUAUUUAUUUAGAAGAGCAAUUGCAUAUUUCAAUAUCACGUCUCUCAUGUCAUGCUGGGGAUGACAACUUGGCUUAAGUGGUAUGAGGGAUAGGUUUGGCAUUUUUGGCACCGUUACUAGAAUUAGAAAACUGUCUACUUUUGGUAAUGAUGUUAAGAAUACCCAACAAUCAGUAAGGAGUACCCUAAGUGAUGAGCAUAUCAAGAGUAUCCGUACACAAGUCGAGGCAUCCGACUCGACGCCCAGUUGUGUGCCCGGUCCUCAACGACCAUAGUCUCGAACACGGAAAGUGCGUCCUGUGAAUCGACCAGGGCUCGAGCGCUGGCUACCGUCGAAUACGGAAACAGGCUCGAGCGAAUCGGAAGGCCUCGAGCGCAAGGACGCCGCCCGCCGCCUGACGUGGGCACGGGAACCAGGGCAUUUAAUGUGCCUGCCUCGUUCUUACCUAACCCGCCAGUCACAGGAAGCGUGAUGGGGAACAGGCACCCGUCCCGUCAUUCUUUUUGCAGCCUUCCCCACCAAACAAGCCAGAACGUGGCAGGAUGCAGGGAGUGGGUCGGAACGUCUAAUCAAGACCCCCCUCGAGACGCCCAAGGUCAGCGCUCUAGCUAGCGAGGCGUUACACGACAUCCGACCCUCGAGUAGGCAUGUUUCCUUCCUAGGGAAGGGUCGGGCGACGAGUGACAGCACCUCAACCACUCCGACACAGCUGCUGCCGCGACAUACAAGCGUGCAACAGAUAAACUAGUCCAGGACGGCGCACAGAGCGGGAUACAGGGGCACACGUAAUCAUCAUCAAAGUACCAAGACAAGAUGGCUCGAGACCACGCCUGUACGGAGGCCUCGAGUAGGUCAGCGCGCCAUACCGCUAUCAACCCCUACUCUGACGCCUAUACAUGUACACUAGGCCCCUCCUUGGAACUAUAAAAGGGGAGGCCCGGGAGCGGAUACAGGGGACACGCGAUACAACACAACACACAUGCUUACUAGAGCUUCCAUACUCCAUCUCCAUCCAUCUCACGCCUGUAUUCACCCCUGUACAAGCACUUAGGUGCAAGAUAAUACAAACACCUCUCCCCCCGCUGGACGUAGGGCCUUCUCUUGCCCGAACCAGGAUAAAUCUUUGUGUCAUUUCUUGCAUCACCAUCUGGAAAGGGGAGCACGCAUACAAGUUUUACUCGUUGGUGUGACCCCCGGGGGAAAACACCGAUAGUGUUGUAAGUGUGCACUUGCAUCUUCAUGAGCUUUUCCACAUAAUUGGCUGGCUUGAACCAUGAUGAUGAGAGCAGGCUUGAGCUCGAAUCCAUUCUCCCCAAUGUUGACUGCUGGUCUAGUCCGAAUGUUUGCUGUUGUUGGGGCAGAGAACUCUCGCAGUGUCUUCUCAGUCAUGUCUUCAAACACAGGAGCUAGGUUUCCCCCUUACUCUUCUGCUUGUUCUUCUAUUUGUCCUUCAAAUUCCUCUUCCAAUGUUGGAGCUGGCUCCUCUGAAGAGCUAGCUUGAGCAGCAGAGGGUGUUCUCGAUGGUGAUUCAAAUUUGUCCCUUGCUUCUACAAACUUUUCCUCCUAAGGAGUUUCUCUGGAUCUUCAGUAAAGUUUCCUAGAAGAGCAAAACCAUUCAUUCAUCACCCUGCAUAAGAUAAGAAAAUAAUAACGAUGAAGGGUGUACCUGAUUGAGUAGAAAUUGAUUGGUAAUAUAACUUUAUCCAUACAUAUAUAUUUAAUCAAUAUAUCCUAAGUUUAUUAUGUCUUCCCCGGCAACGGCGCAAAAAAUGCUUGUUGACAUUUACUACCGUCAUCACUAAAAAUAGAGAUUAACUCUACCCAUAGCAACAACACCAGAAAUACACGGUAUAUCAUUAACUUGUCAAAUAGCAACAAACCAAUCUAACAUUCUUAAGCAUAAAGUAGGUUGUCAUCCCUAAUUAUAUUGCUAGGAAUUUAAUAUAGAUUCACAUGUUCUACUGCAACUAAACAAAGAGACACCACGACGUAUUUUGCUUACCAGGCAUGGUGAGGUCGGUCGCUCCCGCUCCCCCUCCACCCCACGGCACCCCGUCCCCUAGCUCCACAAGCCUCUUGCCACAGCCUACUCCGGGCGCGCCGACCACCCAACCUCCUCCCACUCCGGCGCCUAAGGGAGCCUCCUGCUCCACCCCCUGUGCCACGGCUGGGCGCUCCAAGGACCAGCGGUGGAGAGACGCCUCCCCUUCCUCUGGCCCCUCCUCGGUGGGGUUUCCUUUGUACAAGGACGUCCUUCUGGGCGGGGGCAGCUCGCCUAUGCCCACUGCCCCAUCGGCGGCUGCUGCCUCGUCGGCCACUCCGUGUGCGGUAGUUCCGGCCUCUCCUAGUGCGCCGGUCUAGAUCCUCCUCAGGCCUCGUGAUCGAUGUAGGCGUCCGGCCGGCGCGGCCCCCCUGACCGUGAGGGGUGGGUUACUUCAGAGAGUCGGCGUUGCCGCUGGGAGCGACAUCGUCGGGAGCUUCCCCCUCAGUGGCAAGUCACGACCGACCUAUGAGGCCAUUGUUUCAACUGUUUCUCCACCACCCACAUGGCUGCAACCUACUGUUCUAGUCCGAGGUGCUUCGCUUGCCGGGGGCUGGGCCAUCGCUCAGCCGCAUGUCCUUCCCGGCAUCCUCGCCUUCUCCAUGGAAGUAGGCAGUUCAUGCAGCGCCCUCCUGCUGGACGCGGUCAGCUCAUUUGGCGCCCGAAGGCCUCAGCGCCGUCGCGCCUAGAGGCCCCGGGAGGCGGAGCAGACGCGGGCGACGCCGACAAGUGCCACAAACGCAAGCGGCAACGUUGAUCUCGGAGGAUGCGGCCUACGUCGGGCGGGUCAGCUGUAGGUGAUGAUGAUGGUUCCGCUGAGGAUGAUGAUGCUCCUGGCCAUCCCCUGCCGGUGCCUAUGGUCAGUCCUAUGAAGGCUGACGCCGUGGCGGUCCCAGCUGUCCCAAGGCGCAUCCUUGACUGGUCGCAAUGGCUUGCCCGCAGUGAGGAAGAUCUCAAGCGUGCUCUGAUCGUCACCUUGCUUGGGGGACCGGGGAACGACGAGCUAGAGAUUGUUCGUGCCACGAUUGCCCUUAGGUUUGAGAUCAAGGAAGCUUGGCUAACCCUGUUCCCAUGGGGGCUGGCCAUAUUCCUCUUGAUCUUGCCUAAUGAGGAGAUCGCCGACACUAUCUUCAAUGAAGGUCGCCCCAUCAAAUCAUCGUCCGCUCGGCUGCACGUCAUGCGAUGGAUGAGGUUUUCCAAGCCUCAGUGGCGAGCCUCCCAGUAGCGGUUGAAGUGGAGCUUGAGGGCAUCCCUGCCCACGCCUAGGAUGUGGCGACUGCAGAGGUCCUCCUGGACGAGCUUUGUUGGAUGUUGGGGUGCACCCGCGCAAUGCCAAUCAUCACGACGUGUUCACGGCGAAAGCAUGGUGCUCCGACCCUGCCCUCUUCCCCCCGGAGUUGAAGCUGGAGAUCAUGGAGCCCCACAUGGCGAGCAGUCCUAACGUGCGGACGUUAUCCUACCCGAUCAAGGUCACGGUUCACCCCCUCGACAGGCCUGGUGAUUCCCAGGAUCCCCCUCGCCCCCACUGAAGAUGAAGAUCAGGAUCAUCACCGGCGACGGUGGAAUUCUUCGUUGCCUCCACCGCCGUCUUCUCCAGCUCCGACAGCCGGAUUGGGCUAGGCCUCGUCCUCUGGCCUACCUAGUAGAAUCUCGGUUCACGAGCAGCUAGGCCCCCGCGUCCAGGCUUCGGCGGCUCGAGUUCCUUCCUCUGCAUUCGUGUGCGUCAUUGAUGAGCAGCCGAACGCGUCUAAUGGGGCCUCGCGGCAUGACAUUACUUCACAUAGGCACGAGGCGUGGUUUGCACAGAGCCCAUGGCGACCGAGUUUGCAGAUCAUGCCGUUAUCUCAGGACCGUUGCCCGGGGGCUCAUGAACGCGUGCUGAGGUGGGCAUGGCGAGCGUGGGCGUUGAUACGACGGUGGAAAGCAUGUAGGAUUCGGCUAUCGGGGGAUCUGUUAACAUCAUGAGGUCUGGGAGCGAGAUCCCUCGGGAGCUCUUUUGAGGGCCUUCGGCGCGCCCUCCUACUGUGGCUGAGAGCGUUGGGCGUUAGGUGGUGGCUGCUGGAUCGCCACCCCCUCCCUCCAACGUUGGGCCCGAUGUCAUCCAUGUCCUCGCCCAGGUGGAGGCCUCCUCCUCUGCUAGCCCAGAUAUGUCGAUGGAUCCUCCUGAUCCCCCCAUCAGCUCUACAUCGUCUUCGUCCCCGCGCCCGCCACCCCAGUCCUCCCGCACGAGCUCCAGUUCGCCACCCCCGUGCCCCCCGCGCCUGAGCUUCUCAUCGCCACCCCUCUCCUUGAAUCUAAGGACUGCUAUGUCGCCCUCCCCCGUGCGGCAGACCCCUCCGCCAAUGCUCCUUCAAGUUGUAUCCCGUCGCCUCCUCCAUCCGCCACCCGCCAGCGUGGCCUAAUGGUCUACUCUCGUCGCUGUUCUGGUAGAGGUGCGAGGGGGACAGUCACUGCCCCCAGCCCCGCACCUCCUAGCCUGGCCUCUGAAUUUGUCAAGGCCCUGUCCAAUAAUCCGGGGGGCUCUUGCCAAUCCCACACAUCAACAAGCGGAGGAGGAAGAAGCUUGAGCCUGUAUGUCAGGAGCCUCGCCGAAGUCGCCGGAUUGCUGGUAUCCCUAUGGACUCUGAUGAGGUAUGCCCCCCACACCUAAAGAAACGAGUAAUGAGGGCUCUAGAUAUGAAUGUGGACGAGGAAAGGUAACAAAUUAGUCAGGAGGCCCUUGCCGAUUAUAUUUAGCAUUUCAAACACCCCCUGUCUGCAUCACAUACUAAGGCCCUUGCUGCUCUUUUUGGUUGGGAUAUCCCUGAGCCUGGGGCUAAGCUCACAGAGUUCUAUUUUUUAGUAUGCCCGUGGGUCGUUUUCCUCAUUCAUUUCUAUGGAUCCUGCUCAUAUUCUAAAUUGGAAUGUAAGAGGUUUGAAUUCCUCGGCUAGACAAGAUGUAGUUAGAGUGUUGGUAGAAGCCUAAAAAAUUGACGUUGUAUGCUUACAAGAAACUAAGUUAUGUAAUGUCUCUAGAGGCUUGAUACUGUCUAUGCUGGGAAGUGACUUUGAUAAUAACUUCAGCUAUUUACCAUCAGUCGGGGCUAGUGGUGGAAUUUUGGUUGCAUGGUGAUACAGAUUGGGUGUUGUUGGAGCUACCAGAGUGGAUGCUCACAGUGUCUCGAUCCAAAUUUGCCCUUCCAAUGGCUGUCCUUGGUGGCUGACCUGUGUGUAUGGGCCACAACACAAUCCGGACAAGGUGCAAUUUCUCCAGGAACUAAGGAAUAUUAGAGCCCAGUGCGCUGGGCCUUGGCUGCUUGUUGGAGAUUUUAACCUUAUAUACAAGGAGGAGGACAAAAAUAACUCCAAUCUGAAUACAGCAAUGAUGGGAAGGUUUAGAAGAUGGAUUGAUGAUAUGGAGGUCUCUGAAAUUCCGCUCCACGGUCGUAAAUACACAUGGAUCAGCUCCUUUACUAAUGCCUCCCCCACCCUUGUUAGAUUGGAAAGAAUGUUUUCCUCGCUGGAUUGGGAGGAAAAGUUCCUUGGCUGUCUCUUACAAAGCCAUGCCUCAAGUGACUCAGACCAUUGCCCUCUGAUUCUUGGGUUGUAGGAUGUUAUUGUCAGCAAGAAAAGAUUCCAGUUUGAAGCAUUUUGGCCUUCUCUCGAGGGAUUCCAGGAGGCGAUGAAGGAGGCUUGGGAGAGUGUGCAGCCUAGGCUAUGCCCUCUCUAAACCCUGAUCCUGAAACUCAAGGCCACACCUAGAGGCUUACAAAGUUGGAGUCAGAGGAGGUGCGGGCACAUUAGAUCUCAGCUGAUGUUGGCAAAAGAAAUCAUACACCAAUUUGACAUUGUGCAGGAAAGCUGGCCUAUUCAGCCCAAUGAAUUAUGGCUAUGCAAUAAUCUCAAGAAACACUCUUUGGCUCUAGCAUCCCUUCUAAGAACUAUAGCCGGACUAAGAUCAUGGAUUGGCUGGUUAAAGGAGGAAUACGCCAACUCCAGACUAUUUCAUCAGCAUGCAAGAUACAGAAAGAAGAAUAAUUUCAUACCAAACCUUCAGGAAGGUGACCACAUCAUCACAAGCCAGGAAGACAAAGCGGCCGCUGUUCUUGAUUUCUAUGACAACCUCAUCGGUACAGAAUAUGAUAGAGAAAGAACUAAUAAUCUGGACACUCUUGGCUAUCCAAGCUUUGAGUUGGAAAGUCUAGAAGUACCAUUCUCUGAGGAAGAGAGUUUGGAAAACCAUAAAGGAUCUACCUUCUGAUAAGGCACCAGGCCCGGAUGGGUUCACUGGGAGAUUUUACAAAAGCUGUUGGCCAAUAAUCUAGAAUGAUGUGAUGGCAGCACUUCAUUCCCUUUGGAAUAGAAACUUCAUAAAUCUCUAGAAGCUGAACUGUGCUUAUAUUACUCUGAUUACAAAAAAGCCAGAUGCUAUUCAGGUUAAGGAUUUCAGGUCUAUUAGUUUGGUGCACAGUUUUGCUAAACUUGUGACAGAAAUAUUGGCAAAUAGACUAGCUGUUCGGCUUGAUGAGAUGGUAUCCCCGAAUCAGAGUGCGUUCAUAAAAAAAGGUUUAUCCAGGAUAAUUUCAUGAUGGUCCAGCAGACAGUAAAAUUCCUACACUCUCAAAAGCAGCCUAGAAUUCUCUUGAAACUAGACAUCACCAAGGCUUUUGACUUGGUGUCUUGGGCCUUCCUUCUGGAGGUUCUCAGAAAAUUGGGUUUUGGCCCUCGAUGGUGUGACUUGGUUAGUGGCCUCCUGGCAGCUUCUUCUACCUAGGUGCUCCUUAAUGGUAUUCCGGGAGAAAGCAUAUGGCACAGGAGGGGCCUCCGGCAAGGCGACCCCCUAUCUCCUAUGCUCUUCAUCUUGGUGAUGGAUGUCCUAGACAGCCUAUUCACACGUGCUACAGAGGCUGGACUGUUGCAACCCCUGUCCACAAGGCCAAUCCAGCAUAGGAUCUCCCUUUAUGCUGACGACGUAGCCCUAUCCCUACGACCCACGGUAGCUGACAUUAAUUUAUCAUUACAGCUAUUGCAGCUGUUCGAGGAUGCCUCGGGACUCAAGACCAACGUCCAAAAAAGCAAUGUGUUGCCCAUUCAGUGCGCCGAGGAGGACAUGGCCUGCAUUCAGGACCUCUUACCCUAUGAAGUCAUAGAUUGCCCUUGUAAGUACUUGGGGCUGCCCUUGACAAUCAGAAAAUUAAUUAAGGAGCAGGUCCAACCAAUCAUUGAUAGGGUGGUUGAUUAGCUACCAGGAUGCAAGGCUGACCUGAUGACGCGAGCUGGCAGAGUGAUUCAAGUGCAAUUUGUGCUCACAGGAAUCUUGAUUUAUGUGGCUAUGGCAACUGAUCUACCUCCUUGGGCUACCAAAGCCUUUGAUAAAAUUAGAAGGGCAUUUCUUUGGAAAGGUCGAAAGGAGGCAAAGGGAGGCCAUGUUGACGGUCCUUAAGUAUCAAAUUUAAUUAUCAAAUAAACAAAGAAAAUGGUCCAAAUGAAAUCAACAUCCAGACUUAGGGUUUUAUCUGACAGAAUUCCACGAGUUUUGGUGUUUGUCUAUUUCUACAGGGUGUUAUCAGGAAAUACGGAAGGCCCACACGUCGGGGUUACAUAGAGAUAUCAACGUACCGCGCAAUUAUCUUACAUCUAGAAGACUCCAGAAGCCACGGGAAUGAAGCGGAGGCCGAACGGGGUCUGGCCCCGCGCGCCCGCCCAGGAGACCAGGGCGCCCACCCCCCUGUAGAGUCCAAUCAGAACUCUCUUUCGGGAUCAAGCUCCACCGACCUAAAGGAUCAAGGAUAACCGUUCAAUCAAUGCCGGUUUGAUCCAACGACCCAUAUUCACUUGAAGGGACUAUAAAACCAGACGCCCUGGCCCUGGAGGAGAGAGCCUCUCAACCCUAAUUCAUUAUUUCUCAAGGGAUAAGAAGCCUCUGAUCAAGCCUAGAGCCACCACAUCAAUUAGACAUCUAGAUUAGCAUAGCUACAUAGGAUUAGAACUAGAAGGAGUCAAUCUUCGAUUGGUUUCCGGAUCUGUCAAGAGGAUUCUUGGUAAUUCUCUAAUUGUUCUUCUAAUUGUUCAUCUUUGUUCUUCAAUAUUAUGAAUAUGACUUUGUUCUACUUCAAUAUAUUGCUUAUGACUUUGCUCUACUUGUUUAUAUUCAAGAUUAUAUUGUUCUUAGUCUAUCAUAGUUAUAUACUUGGCUUAGUUAGAUUGGAUUUAUAUACAUGUUUAGGAUCGUAUAGCGUUUAUCCAUCGGAUCCGUGGGUAAAUGAUAGAUAUUGUGUAGGCAUGGUGCUUAUACCGUAUUUAUCUGCGAUUGUACCCAAUAUGCCAGAUCGUGGGGUAGUUCGUGAUAGUGACAACUUCAUUGAUUCAUAUAUAGUCCCCCUCUCGUGUAUUGGGCUGGUAGAGCAACAUUAUUAUAGGGGAGCGAUUACGAUGUUUCUCAUAUUCCUUGCUAAUAUCACUAUGCUUGGGCGUAGUCCUGUCUCACAAUGAUUGCUAAGUAUGCUUGCACUAACUAUGAUAAUGCUAGACUAUAUAGUUGAGAAUAACUUAGGAAAUAUUCUUGUAGUUCGUUCUAAUACCAUGCUAAUGACUUGCUAGAAUAUCUAAUUGAGGUGCUUAUCAUAUUUAUAUGUGGUUAAGUUAUGCUGAUCAGAUUAAUUAUCUUUGUCACUAUUCAUUACUUUAUAUAUCUUUAUGUGACACUUACCCCUGUAUAAAAGAGUUAUAUAAAUGUUCUCAAUUAUACAUGCAAUGAUAGAUACUCAAUCUCAUAUUCCAUUCUAUAAUUAACAUUGAUGAUUAUUAAUCCCUUCCUAGUGGUAAAAAUAUAAAUAACGAUACCUAGAAUACUUCUCGGUUAAAAUGCUACAUCGGUAUUAAUCUGCGUGCUUGCAGAUCCCAUUCAUUAUUUAUUUAGAUGAGCAAUUGCAUAUUUCAAUACCGCGUCUCUCAUAUCAUGCUGGGGAUGACAACUUGGCUUAAGUGGUAUGAGGGAUAGGUCUGGCAUUUUUGGCACCGUUAUCAGAAUUAGAAAACUAAGUUGACUUUUGGUAAUGAUGUUAAGAAUACCCAACAAGCAUUUUUGGCGCCGUUGCCGGGGAAGGUUGAUUACUAAUUAGGAAUGAAUAUAGGAUUUUGAGUUAUCAUUCGCAUCACUAAUAUGAUUGAGCUUAUCAAUUCCCUCAUACAGUUUUACCAUGAUAUUUUUCUAUUUUAUCUUAUGCAGGGUAAUGAAUGAAUAGAAGACAUCUUCCAGGAAAUUUUGUUGACAAUCCUGAAGAAUUAUUCAGAAAAACAAGAGCCAAGCUCAAGAAGAGAUCAUCAACACUUCUGCAAGAAGCUUCGUUCAGUCAAGAAGAUAACCGGAACUUGUCUUCAGAGUUCAAAGCCUUGGCAAACAAAUCGACCCGUGAGUUCUCAGCUCCCACUACGGACAACAUCUGCACUGGACCUGCUGCAGAGAUCGAUGGCAACUUUGAGCUCAAGCCUGGACUUAUCAACAUGGUGCAAUCCAACUAGUUCUGUGGGAAGGCACACGAAGAUGCUAGUGCUCAUCUCCAACACUUCCUGAAGAUUUGCAGCUCAUUCACCAUAUCAGGAGUCCCUAGAGAUGCUAUACUACUUCACCUCUUCCCAUUCUCGCUGUUAGGAAGAGCGAAGCAGUGGUUUUACGCUACAAAGGAGAAGAAUACUACGUGGGCACUCUGCUCCACGAACUUUCUGGCUAAGUUCUUUCCCAUGGGCAAGACCAAUGCUCUCCGUGGGAAGAUUACAAGUUUUUAGCAAUAAUAUGAUGAAUCUGUUCCAGAAGCAUGGGAGCGCUUCCAAGACUACAUCCUAGAAUGUCCCCAUCAUGGAAUGGAGAGUUGGCUAUUGAUGCAGAUGUUUUAUCAUGGGCUCGGUAACAGUGCCUGAGAGACCAUGGAUGCUGCAGCUGGAGGAGCAUUACUAUCACUUACCAUAUCACAAGCCACAACUCUUGUGGAGAAGAUGGCGUCCAACCAAAGCUGGAAUGAAGAAAAGACCCAGACACGCAAGAAAGGUGGAGGUAUGCAUCAGCUCAAGGAGGUAGCCAUGCUGUCUGCAAAGCUAGACUUGCUCAUGAAAAAGCUCGAUGAUAGAGCUAGAGAUAAGAAAGAAGUUAUGCACAUCUAUGACUCUCACAUGACUUGUGAGGAGUGUGGAGAUACUGGACACUCAGGCAAUCACUGCUCUGAGAUGCUUGAGGAUGUGAACUACAUCAACAACAACAACAACUACUACAACCGUCCUCAACAAAAUCAAGGUUGGAAUCAACAGAGGCCUAACUACUCAGGUAAUUAUCAAGGUAACAAUUCUUACAAUAAUAAUAAUUUUCCACCUCUGAGAGAGUUAGUGUCUAAUCAAGGACAGCUAAUGGAUAAUCUAUCUAAGAAAUUGGCAUCUAAUGAUAAAAUGUUAGAAAAUAUAAAUAAUAGAAUGGAUAAUUUCUCUACUGCCAUCAAGAAUCAAAUUAGCUUUAAUAAGAUGACUGAAUCUCAGUUAAAUGAAAUAGCUAUUGUUGUUCCUACUACUAACCCCGGUAUACCAUCACAACCGGAAGGAUUAGAAUCUGCAAAUCUUGUAGACAUGUUUGAUGCAGGUAACUACUGGAGUAACCCUGUCACUGAAGUUACUACUGACCUCCUACCGGUCAAGAGAGGCGAUCCAGGACGCCCCGUCAUUCCGAUCUCCAUCGGCAUGGUGGACUUCCCAGAAGCACUCUGUGACUUUGGCUCUAGCGUCAACAUUAUGCCUAGGGUACUUUAUGAAAAAAUCUUUACAUAUCCUUUAUUAGAGACAACCAUGUGUUUGCAGUUUGCAGAUCAGGCGUUAAGUUUUCCAAAAGGAAUAUUGAAGAACCUUUGUGUCCGAGUUGGUACCUUGUACGCCCCAAUAGACUUCGUGGUGAUAGAGACCGGUAAUGAUGAGAGGACACCCAUCAUCUUAGGGAGGCCAUUCUUAAACACCUCGGGAGCUGUCAUCUAUGCUAAUGCUGCCAAGAUCAGUUUCUACAUCAAAGGGAGGAAGGAGACUUGUUUCUUCAAGAACAAGACUACACAAAUCCUAGAUCAAUCCAGACGUGAAUCAAGGAAGAGGACCAACAGGAGGAACAGGAACAAGCAAGUGUGGACCGAGUCAGCUAAGAUGGUCACUGCAGUUCAAGGAGGCCAAGAUCAUCAACUUAAGUCACCAUUUUUUACCAAGAAGGAUGACCCAGGAAUGCCAAGCAUCUAUUGCUUCAUACAUGGAUACAACUUCUACAAGACGACUUGCGACAUUGGAUCGGGCGUCAACAUAAUGGCCGCAGUCACCUAUCCGCUCUUGUUCGGAACCAUGCCCUUAAAACCAACAUACAUUCAACUCCAGACGGAAGAUCAGACAUUUCGAGAGGUUAAAGGUAUGAUAACUGAUGUCCCUGUUAAAAUAGACGAUCAUUUUGUCUUCACAGACUUUAAGGUUAUUGAUGUUGACGGUCCUUAAGUAUCAAUUUUAAUUAUCAAAUUAACAAAGAAAAGGAUCCAAAUGCAACCAACAUCCAAACUUAGGGUUUUAUCUGACAGAAUUCCAUGAGUUUUGGUGUUUGUCUAUUUCUGUAGGGGGUUAUGAGGAAAUACGGAAGAAAGGCCCACACGUCGGGAUUACAUAGAGAUAUCAACGUGCCGCACAAUUAUCUUACAUCUAGAAGACUCCAGAAGCCACGAGAACGAAGCGGAGGCGAAACGGGGCCUGGCCCUGGGCGCCCGCCUAGGAGACCAGGGCACCCGCCCACCUUUAGAGUUCAAUCAGGACUCUCUUUCAGGAUCAAGCUCCACCGACCUAAAGGAUCAAGGAUAACCGUUCAAUCAAUGUCGGUUUGAUCCAACGGCCCAUAUUCACUUGAAGGGACUAUAAAACCAGACCCCCUGGCCCCUUGAGGAGAGAGCCUCUCAACCCUAAUUCAUUAUUCCUCAAGGGAGAAGAAGCCUCUGAUCAAGCCUAGAGCCACCACAUCAAUUAGACAUCUAGAUUAGCAUAGCCACAUAUGAUUAGAACUAGAAGGAGUCAAUCUUCGAUUGGUUUCCGGAUCUGUCAAGAGGAUUCUUGGUAAUUCUCCAAUUGUUCUUCUAAUUGUUCAUCUUUGUUCUUCAAUAUUAUGAAUAUGACUUUGUUCUACUUCAAUAUAUUGCUUAUGACUUUGCUCUACUUGUUUAUAUUCAAGGUUAUACUGUUCUUAGUUUAUCAUAGUUAUAUACUUGGCUUAGUUAGAUUGGAUCUAUAUACAUGUUUAGGAUCGUAUAGCGUUUAUCCAUUGGAUCCAUGGGUAAAUGAUAGAUAUUGUGUAGGCGUAGUGCUUAUACCGUAUUUAUCUGCGAUUGUACCCAAUAUGCCAGAUCGUGGGGUAGUUCGUGAUAGUGACAGCUUCAUUGAUUCUUAUAUAGUCCCCCUCUCGUGUAUUGGGCUGGCAGAGCAACAUUAUUACAGGGGAGUGAUUACGAUGUUUCUCAUAUUCCUUGCUAAUAUCACUAUGCAUGGGCGUAGUCUUGUCUCACAAUGAUUGCUAAGUAUAAUUGCACUAACUAUGAUAAUGCUAGACUAUAUAGUUGAGAAUAACUUAGGAAAUAUUCUUGUAGUUCGUUCUAAUUCCAUGCUAAUGACUUGCUAAAAUAUCUGAUUGAGGUGCUUAUCAUAUUUAUUAUGAGGCUAAGUUAUGCUGAUCAGAUUAAUUAUCUUUGUCACUAUUCAUUACUUCAUAUAUUCUUUAUGUGACACUUAUCCCUGUAUGAAAGAGUUAGAUAAAUGUUCUCAAUUAUACAUGCAAUGAUAGAUACUCAAUCUCAUAUUCCAUUCUAUAAUCAACAUUGAUUAUUACUAAUCCCUUCACAGUGGUAAAAAUAUAAAUAACGAUACCUGGAAUACUUCCCGGUUAAAAUGCUACAUCGGUAUUAAUCUGAGCGCUUGCAGAUCCCAUUCAUUAUUUAUUUAGAUGAGCAAUUGCAUAUUUCAAUACCGCGUCACUCAUACCAUGCUGGGGAUGACAACUUGGUUUAAGUGGUAUGAGGGAUAGGUUUGGCAUUUUUGGCACCAUUAUCAGAAUUAGAAAUCUAAGUCUACUUUUGGUAAUGAUGUUAAGAAUACCCAACAAUUGACAUGGGCGAAGAUGAAUGCGAUCCACCCAUCAUCCUUGGAAGACCGUUCCUCAGCACCGUUAAGGCAAUCAUCUACAUUGGAACCGGAGAAGUCCAUUUGCACUUCCCCUCAGAGAAGGUACACCGCUAUUUUACUGACCCUAACUAUAUUUUUGAACACUCUAAGCAGGUCAGGACAAGAAGAAAACGACGCAACCGCAACCAGAGGAGGCAGAUCAUCAAGGAUGGAUGGGCAGACUAUGAAGGAGAAGUGGUGAGGUCAGAAGACAUACAGUUGAAACAGAAUUAUCCAGCGGAGACCGUAGCACCGAGUCAGCUGUGGAAAGAGAAGAUAACCAUACACGAAGAAGAGGCGCUGCCAGAAGUACCGACUCCGCCACCCAACGAACCCCAGGACAACUGAGAAAACGGAGAGUCCCGUUCGGAGGACUUAAAAACACCGAACGCCUUGCCAAGAGGUAAACUUGGUAGUUAUCUUUUCCCUUUCAAUUAUUUCAAACAGUUUACUUAGUUAAUUAUGUUAAUACUAUCCUAAAAAGAAAAUAAAAAUGUUAAAAAACAGUAAGCCCCAUGUGAGUAUACGAGUGGCAUGAAAACCAUAAGUACAUUCACUGUGGUGGCAUAAAAAUAAAAUAAAUAUUUCUUUUCUGUUUUAUAAAACGAAAAUAUAAAAAUAGGAAGUAACAUUUAUUGAGGAGGCUCAACAUGAUAAAGGCUAGAUACUUACGCUAACACUUAAUUAGUUCCACAAAGCUUUGUUGUCUAUUUGAACUCCACAGAAUUUAAGAAUCGAGAAGACUAGCAGACGGAGGACAUUCUAAUCGCUGUCAAGAUACCGCCGACUUUCAAAUACACCUCUGCCACCUGCUAGCUACAUCAAAAGAAAUUACGUCAAAAUUCAGCUUGGGGGAGAGCACCCCCAUUUAUCCCGCUAAGUAUGUCUAUCUAUCUUUAUACUUAUACUAUAUUAAAAUAUAGAUAUACAUAACUUAUAGAAAACCAAAUAAAGAUUUUGUGCUUAUAUAUAUAUCUUUUGCUAGUUUGUUUAAUAAAUAAAUAAAGUGGCUAUGCUAAACUAAGUCUUAAUAAUAAAACUCUAGCAUGGAUAUGAUGAAUAGUUGCUCUAUCUAAUUUUUAAAAUUUGAAGUUCUCUCUCAAGUUUAGACAUAACUGUUAUAAUUUAAAGGUUGCUAUAAACCUAAACUUGUGGGAAGAAAACUUGAUCUGAAGUCUAAGUUGUUAACGGAUAUGAUAUGGGAAGGUUGAGCUGCUGUUUAUCUGUUUCUAGAGAUGCUAGAAUUCUGGAGAAUUUUAUCUUUGAAAAUCUUUAAAAUAUUGCAUGAUGAGUUCCUGUAUGAUGAGAGUUUAAAUUCCUACCACAGCCAUAUAUACAUGCUUGCUAGACGUUGAGCCACACAUUUACUUUUACUACUUAUGAGCAUUGAGUGUAGUCAAGCUGUGUAGACCCUUAGGAGCUUGUCAUGUGGUUAAUCAAGAUUCACUUGCACGUUCACUCAUACAUGCUGCUUCUAUUCCGGAAGUACGCAUCCACAUAUAUCCACCCAUUUCCAUCUUCAGAACCACCCCAAAAAUAUUCUACUCCUAAUCCGGAAGAGAAUAGCUAAAAAUAUUUCUGUUUUCCCCUGUGAAAUAAAUGCUCAAGUUAUCUUGGUUACUACCACUUGCUAUAUUAUUUCAGAAGAUGAGUACUCUAAAAAAAGAGAUACGAGGAAAUAAAAAGGGGCAAGUGCACGGAACCUCGAAGAAAAGAAAAAGUGAGACGAGAGGUAAAAAUGGACAAGUGUCCGAUAGUAGAAUUAGGGGUACAAAAUACCCACCAGAGAGGAAAGAAAAAGAAAAUAUAGAGCAUCUCAUUCUCCUCACAAAGUUUCAAAAAGCAAGGAAGGUAUGUAUCUCCUCAAAGAGCAAAAGUAGAAUUAGACUUUCACCAUUGUUAUCACCAUCAUCACCAUACGCCAUUCAUUCGCCACACAUGCACAUCUUGAUUUGACUUAUUGAUUUGUUUCUUUGGAUCCAUGGUUUGACUAUACAAUAAAUGUCUUGUGAGUAUGUAUACUUUAUCUGCCACCUAUGAGCCCCAGAUAUUAAAGCCUUAUUAGAGUAGGGUGAGAGAGAAGGCAAUGUCACUAUGCCUUAUACCACAAAUACCACAUACUUUUUGAGAGAAGGCAUAUACCAUCACUGCCUU